rnacentral:rRNA from 1 species
AUUGAACGCUGGCGGCAGGCUUAACACAUGCAAGUCGAGCGGGGGAAGGUAGCUUGCUACCGGACCUAGCGGCGGACGGGUGAGUAAUGCCUAGGAAUCUGCCUAGUAGUGGGGGAUAACUUGCCGAAAGGUAAGCUAAUACCGCAUACGUCCUACGGGAGAAAGGAGGGGACCUUCGGGCCUUUCGCUAUUAGAUGAGCCUGGGUCGGAUUAGUUAGUUGGUGAGGUAAUGGCUCACCAAGACCGCGAUCCGUAACUGGUCUGAGAGGAUGAUCAGUCACACUGGAACUGGGAAAAGGCCCAGACUCCUACGGGAGGCGGAAGUAGGGAAGAUUGGAAAAUGGGGGGAACCCCGAUCCAGCCAUGCCGCGUGUGUGAAGAAGGUCUUAAGAUUGUAAAGCGCUUUAAGUUGGGAGGAAGAGCAGUUAACUAAUAUUUGACUGUUUUGACGUUACCGACAGAAUAAGCACCGGCUAACUUCGUGCCAGCAGCCGCCGUAAAAC